rnacentral:rRNA from 1 species
UACGUAGGGCGCAAGCGUUGUCCGGAAUUAUUGGGCGUAAAGAGCUCGUAGGCGGCUUGUCACGUCGGGUGUGAAAGUCCGGGGCUUAACCCCGGGUCUGCAUUCGAUACGGGCUAGCUAGAGUGUGGUAGGGGAGAUCGGAAUUCCUGGUGUAGCGGUGAAAUGCGCAGAUAUCGGGAAGAACACCCGUGGCGAAGGCGGUUCUCUGGGACGGUACUGACGCUGAGACGCGAAAGCGUGGGGAGCGAACAGG